UUAGCAUUUGCCUUGGACAUUUUCUUGUUGGAUUAUCUUGACCCCUGUUUAGGGGUAUUAGCGUCAAGUCUAAGUUUUAGUCGUAGUCUCAGUUCAAGACUCUUAUUUCAAGUUCUAGCGACAAGUCUAAGUAGUGAUCUUAGCUUGGUGUCAAGUCUAUGUGUUAGACUCAGUGUCUAGUCUUGGUGUCAAGACUUGUUUAUCCAGUCUCAGUUCUAUAUUGAGAGUACAACUUUAGGUCUACAGUCUACAGGACUGAGGUUUGUCCUUCCAGUUGGUCGUUUGGUGUACAAGUUGCUUCUUACAUGAGUCUGAGGUUCAAGAUUCCAGACUGCGGGUUGUAGUGGUCAGACCUGAUGUUAUAGUGUAAACUAUGAACUUCUAUUGUGGAAUUGUCGUCAGUGGACAGUACCUGAUCUAGAGGCUAGAUCUGCAUAUAUUACCAGUUGUUGUUUUGAGAUUGAAGGUCUAUGUGAUCCAUUGAACUACCUAUUAUAGUUAAGGUAAUAAAUUAUGUAUUUCAUAAUUAUUUGAAUAUUCUAAAGAUACUAACUGGAUCAUUUUAUAUUACACAUUAUUACAUAUUGAUAUUUCAUACUAUUAUUAUCAUUCAUCAUGGAUCAGUCAUUUGUAAAUAUAUCACUAGAAUAAAUUUUAUUGUUAUUUACAUCA